GACGAACGCUGGCGGCGUGCUUAACACAUGCCAGUCGAACGGAAAGGCCUGCUUUCCCUUGUGGAUUGCGGGUACUCGAGUGGCUAACGGGUGAGUAACACGUGAGUGAUCUGCCCCCAACUUGGGUAUAAGCCUGGGAAACUGGGUCUAAUUCCCGAUAGGACUGCAGGGUGGUGCCUGUGGUGGAAAACGAUUUUCUAGUGGUUGGGGGUGAGCUCGCGGCCUAUCAGCUUGUUGGUGGGGUAAUGGCCUACCAAGGCGGGGACGGGUAGCCGGCCUGAGAGGGGGGACGGCGACAUUGGGACUGGGAUACGGCCCAGACGCCUACGGGAGGCAGCAGUGGGGAAUAUUGCACAAUGGGCGGAAGCCUGAUGCAGCGACGCCGCGUGGGGGAUGACGGCCUUCGGGUUGUAAACUCCUUUCGACCGCGAGGAAGCCACCUGGUUGGAAGGGUGGUGUCGGUAGUGGUAGAAGAAGCACCGGCUAACUACGUG
rnacentral:rRNA from 1 species